rnacentral:lncRNA from 1 species
AUGGCCCUCUUCUUCAUUUUCACCUUUUUCUUGAGCUUUGCUUGUGACAAUGGGGAGCUGCAACUUCCAGACCACAAGGACUGUCAAAGUGGAGUUCACUGCAGAAGAAAACAGAACCUGACAAACUGUCCAGCAGGCUUUUUCUGCCCCGAAGGAAGUACCAUGCCAGUUCCAUGUCCCCGAGGCACUUUCCGUUCCGAAGGAGCAGCACUGACACCACACAGCUGCUUGGCGUGCCCAGUGGAUUUCUUCAACCCCAUGCCUGGCCAAAAAGCAUGCUUCCCAUGCGGCUCAGAGGCAGCACAGCCCACAGAAGGGCAAGAAACGUGCAUCUGUCUUGGGAAAGGCCAGGUGUUUCAGGCUCGUGAUGCUCGCUGCACAUGCCCUCUGGGUUAUCGGAGCUCGCUGGAUGGCAGAAGACAUUGUGUCAGGCAAGCGUAUGAUAUUUGUCGAGAUUCAGCCUCCCGAAAUCAAGAAGGACGGUGUCUAACCAAGAAGGAAUGGACUCACUAUUGCUCAGAAAAGGUUUGCACUAUUCCCAGAGAUUAUCAAGGCUAUGACAAGGUUCUUGGCUUAUGCAUCUGUCAAACUGACCGUCUGGAGAGCAUCUGUGAUUCUCAGUGUAGAAGGCAACAAAAAGAUACCCUGCAAAUCACCUGUGCAGAGGAAAAUCCUCAGCUUUCUAUCACUUACAGAAAUGGGAGCAAGGUAAAAGAUACCAUUAUUUUCAAAAUCUACCUGUUUUUGCUAAACUUUCAAGACUUUGAGCAACCUUUUUAUCAAAUAACAUCAUCUUUUUUUUAUUUCCUUGAAAAAGUACAGAAGGCAACAAACAAAAACCCCAGACACUAG